GAGCAAGUUCCCUCGAAUCUCAUCAUGGGUACAGCAACAUGGCUGCCAGGCACUGCAGUGCACAAGUUACCGUAAACUCUGGACCUCAGCCAAAGGUGGUAGCUUCUCACGGUCUCCGGAAGCAGAGAUAGCCAGAAGGAAAGCCCAUAGACCUGCCUGCCAUGGCCAGUAGCGCUCCCAGAUACGGUCUCUCACUGAUCCUGGACAUCUCCAUUUCAGCUGCACUGGGUGGGCUGCAAGCCUUGG
rnacentral:lncRNA from 1 species